rnacentral:lncRNA from 1 species
GGAGGGCGAUAGAUUUGAUAGUGGAUAAUAAGUAUGCAUGUAACUGGAUUAGUAGCAUUAAGAAGAAUAAAGAAUUAAAAUAUAUAUAUAUGAUUAAAUUAAACUACAACUAUAAUUUCAGGGGUGGACCUAGAAUAGAUGGUGUGAUAGUCCAAUUUUACAUGGUUCUUACCUUUGGCUUAGAUCCUAUAUUUGUGUCAAAAAUUCACCAGAUAAGUACAAAUUAAAGAUUUUGAACCCGACAUUGUGAUAGAAUCCCUAAUUCAAACGCAUUAAGUUCAAAUACUGAUCCGCCUACGCAUAAUUUAACUAACUCAUGAAUAGUCAUAAAUACUUAUAUGCUCUGAAAGACUGAAACUAACGCAUUACCAACAUAGAGGAUCAUAAGAAAAAUAUAUUCUUCAUAGAGCAUUUCUCGUAACUAAAUCCAAAAUUUCAUCCACACACGUGAAAAAACAACUUCAAGGCAUUUUGUUUUCAAUGUUAGAAACUCAGUAAGAACAGUCGAAUUGCCACAACUGAAACCACAGUAUUAAAGAAGAAUAACCCCCUAGCAGUGACCUAGUGGUCUAAGAGUUUGAGUAACAACCUUUGGUCGUACAAAUCCCACAGUCGACACUAGGCCAACUCUUUCAACCUGUGUCAGUUUUUGUGAGCAGAAUUACCCAGUACCUCCACUGAUGGGAGGUAACAAGUAAUCUGUGGAUUAGUCGAGAUGCACACAAGCUAGCUCCAACAUCACCUUCAUAAAGACAAAAAGAAAUACUAUUAAAUGAGAGCAAAAAUAACAUGAUAAUUCAUGCACAACAACCCUCCUAAAUAGGGCUGGCAAAAUGGUUAAAAGAAAACAAUUAUCUACCCAUAUUAUCCAUUAAAAAAUGGGUUGGAUAAUAAAUUUUUAAAAAACGGGUCAAAUAGGGAUAAGAACCAUAUUAUACAUUUAAAAAAUGGAUAAUCAAUAGAUAACCUAUGGAUAACUAGCAGGUGUAACUGUUAUAUUUGUAAAGCCUCAAAUUGGGGGUUCCUCAAGUUUGGAAAGAAGUCAUGAAUAAUAUGGAUAUCCAUAUUAUCCACCAAUUAACCCAUUUUUUAUCCGUAUUAAAUACGGGUUGGGCCGAAUAACUUAUCCAUUUUUACACUACAUGUUUUCAACCCGUCCAUAUCUGACCUGACCCACCCAUUUGCCACCACUACUCCUAAAACACCCAGCAUUCAUAAAAUCAAGAAACUUCUAGGAAAUAAAAUUAAAAAAUUUGUUCUUGUAGUUGUUAAACUGGUCACAUUCACCCAAACUGUCACCCUGUAACAGAAUCGAAGAAUAGCAAACCACUGAAAGCUAAUAGCAAUUCAACCCUACCGAAAAAUAAAUGCGCGCACACACACCAAAAAAAAGGUCAAGGUGAAAUUAACAUUACAUGAAAAUGAAAAAUACCAAAUUCCUACCCACUGCUAUAAAAUAGGAGUGGGUACAGUAGUUCGAGACCCGUGGGUACAAUCUGCACCCACAGCUCUCAAUUUGAACCAGGUAUAUAAUUGAUUUUUUUUCAAUUAAGAAAAAAUAACAAUAAUUUAUAGUGCAUUUAUACAAACUGCAACAAAAUAAUAAUAAUAAUAAUAAUAAUAAUAGUAGUAGUAAGUAUUCUGAACCCACUAAUUCCAAAUAAUAAGACUCUGUUGUUAC